UACUGUGAUAGGCCAACAGACGCGUUGGAACUACGUCAUCACGGUAUAAGAACAGCUGUUUACGUACUUCCUGCCAGUUCCCUGUUUUACCCUGCGCGGUGAUACGGCGAACCUGUAUAUACGAAAAUUGCAUUUGCCAUUUAUUGUUUGCGUUAAACAUAAUUAAAGAAAGUUAGCAGACCUUGCUUUUUAUUUAUCCGGAUUUGAUUAACGCAGCGCUUUCACAUUUGCUAAAAUAAUCCAGGUGUGGCAUAUCAAAAAGCUGAUUAAAGACAAGGCCAUUCUAAAAUGUGCAGUUGUCUCAAGUUGAGGGAGCGUGCAAUUGCCAUGCUGAUAGCAGGAAUGUUCACCGGAGCUGUUGCCUGAGAAUUUAACUACAAUGAGCCGCUUCUAACGUCAUUUUAGAGAAUUUGGCAGUACGUCCAACCCGCCUCACAACCGAAGACGUGUAUGGCGUUAUGUGGGCGAGCGUUUUGCUGAUGUCACCGUUGUGAAAAGAGUGCCCCAUGGUGUCGGUGGAGUUAUGGUACGGGCAGGCAUAAACUAUGGACAACCAUCACAAUUGCAUUUUUAUCAAUGGCAAUUUGAAUGCACAGAAAUACCGUGACGAGAUCCUGAGACACAUUGUGCGGCCCAUUUUUUUAAGCUUCUGAUAACUGUACAUUAUGCUUAAACAAUGUUAGUUACUUUUCCCUUCCAUCCUGACUGCUCAUUCUUCAGAGAUGGGAAUGUCCUCCAACGUCAUGGCGAUGUCUCUCAGUUUGGGGUCAUCAUCUCGCCAGUUCACUUUACUGGCAAUGAUGAUCCCCUGGAGAAAAUAUCGCAACAUGAUUUUGACAAACAAAAACAGGUGAGACUGGCCUUUCUGCACUUCUCCGCCUCGGAGAGGCUCCCUCUUCAACCUUCUCAUGAGUGAGACGCUUUAAAUCUGCAGAGGAGAAAAAUAAAAUGCAAACGAUUUAAAUAUGUUUGAAGGAGUUUCC